rnacentral:lncRNA from 1 species
GUUUGAUAAGAAUCACAAGUUAACACAUCAAAUGCUGAUGAUAAAAGGAAGUGACCACAAUACACUAACACGUGAACUCGUACUGACCCGCAAGAUCAUUGACCAAUAAGAAAGAUGAUAUCCAAUCAUGCAUUGGUCAUAAGUGAAAUUUCUCUGCACGUGAAAACAUCUUAUCUAAUUUCAACAAUUUAUCGUUUAAUUAAGUAGG